UACGUAGGGUGCAAGCGUCGUCCGGAAUUAUUGGGCGUAAAGAGCUCGUAGGCGGUCUGUCGCGUCGGAUGUGAAAACCCAGGGCUCAACCCUGGGCCUGCAUUCGAUACGGGCAGACUAGAGUUCGGUAGGGGAGACUGGAAUUCCAGGUGUAGCGGUGAAAUGCGUAGAUAUCUGGAGGAACACCGGUGGCGAAGGCGGCAUCCUGGACCGACACUGACGCUGAGGCGCGAAAGCUAGGGUAGCAAACGGG
rnacentral:rRNA from 1 species